rnacentral:antisense_RNA from 1 species
CAUCAUGGUGUGGCGUAGCGGGGGAACCGAAAGGUUCGCCGGUUUCUUUCGUGCCGGUCUACCAACCUUGUUACGUCGCACCACCCCG